UACAGAGGGGGCAAGCGUUGUUCGGAAUUACUGGGCGUAAAGGGCGCGUAGGCGGCCUGUUAAGUCGAACGUGAAAUCCCCGGGCUCAACCCGGGAACUGCGUCCGAUACUGGCAGGCUUGAAUCCGGGAGAGGGAUGCGGAAUUCCAGGUGUAGCGGUGAAAUGCGUAGAUAUCUGGAGGAACACCAGUGGCGAAAGCGGCUUCCUGGUCCAGCACCGACGUUCAGGCACGAAAGCGUGGGGAGCAAACAGG
rnacentral:rRNA from 1 species